rnacentral:rRNA from 1 species
UACGUAGGGUGCGAGCGUUAAUCGGAAUUACUGGGCGUAAAGCGUGCGCAGGCGGAUGUUUAAGUCAGAUGUGAAAUCCCCGGGCUCAACCUGGGAAUGGCAUUUGAAACUGGGCAUCUAGAGUGCGUCAGAGGGGGGUGGAAUUCCACGUGUAGCAGUGAAAUGCGUAGAGAUGUGGAGGAACACCGAUGGCGAAGGCAGCCCCCUGGUAUGACACUGACGCUCAUGCACGAAAGCGUGUAGAACAAACAGGAUUAGAUACCCUGGUAGUCCACGCCCUAAACUAUGUCAUCUAUUUGUUGGGGGCGUAAGUUCUUAGUGACGAAGCUAACGCGUUAAGUUGACCGCCUGGGGAGUACGACCGCAAGGUUG